UACAGAGGGGGCAAGCGUUGUUCGGAAUUACUGGGCGUAAAGGGCGCGUAGGCGGCCUUCUAAGUCGAACGUGAAAUCCCUGGGCUCAACCCAGGAACUGCGUCCGAUACUGGGAGGCUUGAAUCCGGGAGAGGGAUGCGGAAUUCCAGGUGUAGCGGUGAAAUGCGUAGAUAUCUGGAGGAACACCGGUGGCGAAGGCGGCUUCCUGGACCGACACUGACGCUGAGGCGCGAAAGCUAGGGGAGCAAACGGG
rnacentral:rRNA from 1 species